AAUGGCAGUAUCCUUUACUCAGUCUAAUUUACCAUGUCUAAGGCAACUGGAGAGUGUGUUUGAGGGAAUGAGGGAGCCACUUCGCUCUGUCCUCCUUACAUACUUUGUACCACACAUUUUCUCUUAGGUUUAGCAUUGGACACAGGAGCGUCAUGGGACAAUGGUGCGAAAACCUAUAGGGCAAAUAAACAUCUGCCUCAUCGUCGCUCUGCUUCCACUUUUGCAAGGGUUGAAUGACUCGCAGCCUGGUGGAGAACCUGUGUACAGAGAAGCAAAUAAUUAUGGGUUGGAGGUCAAUGACCCUUGGGAAGUGGUGUACACAGAGGUCAAGACUAACGGUGUUGUGGAAAAGGGAGUGAUCCUUGAGUGUGGUCCUUCCCUCCCAGAUGUCUACAUCUGGGGUUUCACUAAGCCAGGGACAGAGACCCUCAGAGCAGUGGUCUACAACUUCGGCAGAGGUCCCAAGAUACAGAGACUGGCCAAAUCAUUGGGGGAGCUGAGUGUCAAUGACAGCAGUGCCUCUAUUUCCGUUGCCAAGCUACCCCUGGCUGCACAGGGCCUUUACACAUGCCAGGCUCUUUAUGACACUGCCGAGGGAGCCAGACUGUACUAUUACUAUAUAUAUCUACGUGUUUUAGUGCCAGUGACGAGGCCGUCCAUCGUCCUGAGCGAUUCCCCUGCAGCAGAGGGUUCAUCCAUAUGGAUGCGCUGUGACCUUGAAAAUGGCACUGAACCCAUUAGCUACACGUGGGAGCAGGAA
ensembl:lncRNA